UUGCUAAAUGCUUUGAACCUGCAGGGUGAGCAGGAGAAAUCAAACACACCUGGCCUUUUAAAGUUUCUGCUGCAAUUCCUGAAAUCACUGUCAGCCUUACAUGCUCCUUGUUUGUGGGCUAAAAAUAUGGCAACAUAAGUACUUUCUAAAAUUCUAAAAAUUAGUGAAAUAAUUUUGUUCAAUAGGUAGCCAAGAAAAGUGAAAUUUAUCUGCAUUCUGUCUUUUCAGGUGGCAAAAGAAAGAUUUAUGUUACUUGGACAUUUAAAAGCAAUACUGAAAAAUGCAAGUUUGAUGUCAAAGGGAACUGGGCUGUGAUGAAAGAAUUCAGGAAGCCCAUUCUGUUUGGACAAAGAGGGAAGGAAGAUGUCGAGUAGAUGAAGAUCCCAAAAUGGCAUGUGGAUUUUCUUUUAUAAGACCAAUGUGCGGAAAAAACUUUGAAAGUAUCCUGAGAACACCUACCUGAAUGUGCAGAAAGCAAAGGGAAGAAAGGAUAUGAGCUGAAAAGAAUUUUAGCAGCAAGUCUGAAAGAAAAUUUGAAAGACCUGCAGCAAGUGAGGAAUUCUUCAGCAGAACAGGGGUCAGAGGGUGAGACCCUCUGUGGGCAUUCAUCUGCAUGGACAGCCAGUAGAAAUUAUGGCUUUGGUAGACACUCCUAGGAUGGAUACUUAAAAGUUUUUUUUUUUUUACUUUCAUUUUAACCGAAAAUACAUAUUAUUGACACUUGUGUGUGAUUUGGAAUAUGUCAGAUGAAAUGUGAAUAUUCUAAACUGAUCUAUGCAGAUAAUUAUCGAUAAAAGGUAAUUAGUCUUAAAGAGUCUUUUUCCCUGACAAGAUGGGAAGACAAGUCAGGGGAUUCUAAAUUCCUUUUUUGAUAGAUGCCUCAGUCUCUUUCAUUCUAAUUUGGAACUUAAUAAAAAUAAAAGUUCCAAAUAGGUACUGAAGUAUUUUUAACUUUAAUCAAAUUUACCUGAAAGUUCUCAAUGAGUUUUGAAAUGGCAGAGCUACUUUAUGUAGACUUUUCCUUUGUGUUCUCUUCACUGCAGUUGUUGCUGUUUUGUGUCCCUGCAGUUCUACUGAAGAUGCAGAACCCUUAUGGGCUAUAUUCAUCUUCUCUGCUCAGCUGCAGCUGCCUUCCUUCUGCAAGCCUCUGAAAACCUGCUAUGAUUUAGGUGUUGGCUAGGACAUGCUUUAUAUCUAAAUAUAACUCUUAAUUACUCCCUGCAGUUGUUAUGUGGCUAGUGACAUUUUAGUAUAUGAACUUAAUAUGAAAAUUUGAUGAUAAAAUAUUGUAGUUAUAAGAAACCACUUUGCUAUAAACUGUUGAUAGACUAUAAAUUCUGAUAACAUCUAUUUGGGAACUACUGAAAUAAAUAACAAAUCCUUUAUUUUCCAAGAGCAGGAAAAGCUUGGUUCACAAAAAAAUUUCAUACUAUUUUUGCCCGACUUUCUGAUUUUAUUAAACUCUAAUGAAACUGAUGGGAUGCUUCAGAUAACAAGAAAGAAAUAUUAACCUUGUUACACUACAAAAUGUUGUACUACAAGGGCACAGGUAGUGCCCCAGUCUGCAUGUGCAUGAGCAGAGUGCUUAUCUGUGAGCUGAGGGUUGUCUGGGAAAGGUGCUGAACAAAUGGGCUGGUCAGGGAGCUGCUGGGACAGAUAAUUUAUUGUCAUUCUUGGAGCUGUGGAGAGUUUCCAGGAAACUGCAAUGGAGCCACUGUUGUGCAAGUGUUUUAAAACCAACGGUUGUGCUAGUGUUUUAAAUUAAUAUAGGGGACACUAUCAGUUUUAUAUCAGAUAGUUUUCUAUAAUAUUGCCCUGCUAAAUUAUUCUAAGGGAAGAAAAUAUAGCAGAUGUCACUCACUCUUGUUUUAUAGAAGAUAAGAUGCAACCCAACCUUUAUUUUUUUUUAGCAGUGUUGAAGGUACCCUGUUUAUUAAUAGCAAUUAUAAUGCUGGCAGAGCUGAGAUCUGCAAGUUAGUAGAGUUUUACAGAAAGAUAUUUUUACUACAAAAUGAGAUAAAUAUGGAAUUAACUGUUCUGCCAAGUAAUUCCAGCUGAGUAUUUGUCAGCUUUGUGUGGUGUGUUCCUUACCAAUGUAAAAUUAAAAUAGGGUGUUUUCAUUUUAAUUUUCUAUCUCAAAAGGAAUCAGCUGAGGAAAACCUGAUGGCCAGUGUUAUGCAGGACCCUGAAUUUAGUGCCAAGGUCAGACCUUACCUGCUUUGGCACUUAAGGCAGAAUGUUCCACAGAAAACUGAGGUGCCCAAGUCAAAGAGAGCAGACCAGCAAAUAAUUACCUGUUUAUAGAGUAACAUGCCUUCCUGGUUUUCAACUGUCCAAAAGAUUUCCAGGUUUCUGACUGCACAGUGAUCCAGCUUCAACAAGGAAUGGAGUCCAUCUAAACUCUUACUCUGGUGUUCUCCAGCCACUGGGCUGUAUCAUACUUGCCCACACCCAGGGAGCGCUCAGGUCUCUGGAUCCUGUAUGGAUGAAGGUGCCAGUGAAAGGAAAUAAAGGACAUAAAUUUUCACUUUUAGUAUUUUCUGUUUGCUCACUGUAGACAACAUUUCAAACAGAAGCAGAGAAUGACCGUAUUUCAGUUUGGGAAUUAAAUGAAUUGGCACUUGGAUCCUUUCACUGAAACACCAGUUCUUACAGAAAUGUGACGUGUACUUGGAUGCUUCCAAGUUAGAGGUGGCUUUGGUAACUCCAGAAUCUGUAAACUGUACCUCAAAAUGGCUGCACUUUCUGUUCUGGUAGGAGAAUUCAUGCAUCAUGUGAAAAAUUGAAUGUGAAGCAGUGAGCUGGGGGUGUCUCCUUAAUCAGGUGCUGUUAGCAGCCUAGGUAGUUUUUUGUGAUGUAUCACACUCAAGUGAAGUGUCUCUUACUGCCAGGAGUCUCUUCUGCAACAGCUCCCAGAUCUCUUAUUACACUCUACAUACUACUGCUGUUUGAGAGAUUUAUGGGAAAGUGCUCUAGCUGUACAUCAGUGGAGAGCCUGGAAAUUAAAAGAAUUUGUUGUUUUCUGUUCUGGGAGGGAUGUUUUGAUGAGCCCAUUAGCAUGACACAAAGGAGCAGGGCAGACAGCCUUACUGAAAUAAGACUAUUAUUUCUUUUGAUUCAUAUUUUAAAAUAGUAAAUGUAAUUUACUUCUAAUUAUUGCUGCAAAGUAUUUCUCUUGUGAUAGAAAGGAAAAUGCAGGAGGUAACUGGAAGCAUUUGCUUACAAGACUGGAAUCAAACUGGAAAGGUCUGUAAGAAGUUUGGGCUCUUUCAGCUGGCCAGUGUUGGGACAUGGAUGGUGAAUACCAAAGAACAUAAAGGUUUCUCACCUUCCUGGGUCACUUUAAGGGUUCAUAUAAUCCAGUGCCCUCUCUCAAUCUGUGUUCAUGAGCAAAUGUGUAGAGAAAAAAAAAAAUUAUUCUUCCCAGCAUAAUCUCCAAUUUCAACUUAAGCAAUAUUUACUAGAUUCUGCAGCUAAUAUCCCAUGAUGAAUUCCUCUUUUGUGAAUUUAUCUGCUCAUUUUUAAUAUGUGCUACCCACAAUGUGUCAGAAUCUUUUACAAAUUAUGGGUUAUGGGAAGAUGUACCUUACAUUUAUUUCUUGGGGCUGUCUUUGUUUGAUAACUCUUUGGUCUUCCCCUAUUUGCCUUCUCCACUGCCUCUCACAGUAAGUCACUAUGGUAUCCUUGCUGUCUUUUCCAGGCUGAAAAUCCCUUUGUAUUUAGUAAUUCCCUUACAGAAACUGGUGUGCAACUUUUGUUAUGUCAUCCUCCUCUGUCUUUUCUCAUUUUACUUUAUCUUUGCUGUGAAGGCUGAAACUGAAGUGAUACUCAAGAUUUAGUCACACCAGUCCUUUUUUCCUUAAAAAAAAAUUUACCGUUUUCUCUUGCUUUUUACUCUUUUUCUAGUAAUCCCUACUUCUGCUGCAUGUUUUAUUGACUGUUAAUGAGCAUUAAGCUGGUCUGUAUCUUAUUUCCCGAGUAGGCACCAGGUAGUUCAGGCACUGUCCCUGAACACAUCCAGGCAAUGACUGAUUUGUACCCUUUAGUUUGGUUUAAACGUAUGGAUUUGGUUUUCCCAGGGGACAGCAGUGGAUGUUAUCUCCCCCUCAGUAAAGGUUUUGACACUGUUUGCCAUAACACCAUUGCAGACAGGGUGGUGGAGUUUAUGGCAGACAAGAGGGCAGUGAGGUGGUUGAAAACUGCCUGGAAUGCCAGGGCUGGGAGAGCUGUGAUUGGUGGCACAAAUCUGGAGGCCAGCCACCAGUGGUGGAUCCAAGGGCUUGACACUGGACCCCUCCCAGUUCAGCAUCCCCUGGACUGAAGGAUGGGACACACCCUCAGCACAUCCAGAGACCAACAAAACUGGGAGGAGGGGCUGGUUCACUGCAGGGGGACCUGGCAGACUGGGAGUGGAAAGAAACUGGGAAUGGAAAAAACCUUUUGACAUUCAAUAAAGGGAAGGGCCAAGACCGGCCCUGGGGAGGAAUAACCCCAAGCAGCAGCACACCCUGGGGCCCAGUGUGUGGAGAGCAGCCCUGCAGAAGGACCUUGCUGGUCCUGGUGACAACUCAAGGACCUGGCAGUGACUCAGUGCCCCCAAGGCAAAGGUGGCCAGUGGUGUCCUGGACUGCACAGAGAGUGCUGCCAGCAGGUGGAAGACUCACCCAUGGCACCCUUCAGGUCAGAGAACUGGUAACUGAGCUCCUAUGAUGUGCUUUUUAACCUUCUGCCCUAGUAGCUGUUUACUCUUUUUAACUUUCUUCACAUCCCCUGGAGGUUUCUGCAAUGGUCCUUGAUGCAAAGCAUUGCUAAAGGCUUUGCAAGUCCAGUUGUAUGAAAUGAUCUCUUUGCAUGUUGCCGAUUCCCUCAAAGUUCACCUUUGUGAGAUAGGACAUCCCUCUGCCCUUGGAUUGUCCCACAUGUCACACUUAUCCCUGUGUCCACUUAUAAUUCCUACCAGUGGCAGAAACAUCUGGGUAACUCUUUUUUAAAAAAUUUGAAGUCCCAGAAAGCCUCCUAAGAAUUGAAACCAUGUAUGUGAGCCAUUUCCCAUUCAUAUGGCAAUGAGACCAGGCAUCAUCCUUGAGCUCCUUAAGCCUUCUCAAAUGAUUAGCAUUGGCUUUUUGGCACUUUGCUGUUAUUCCUUCUGUUGAUUCCUCUCUAGAAUAUUUUGUUGACACUCCAUUUUGAAUAAUUUCUCUGGUAUUUGCCCUCUGCUGGGGAAUGUUAGGUUUGCUGUCUCAUGAAACUCCUCCAUAAGAAAUAUAUAACCAAAGAAUGAGUUUUCAUAUUCUGUCAUUUCUUUAUUCCAACUGUCAUUCUUAAUCUUGGUGUCAGAUUUCUUUUUAGUGUAUUUAUUAUUUCUUGUGCCUUUUAUGAGCAGCUGAAUCCUCUUUAGCAUAUUUCUAAUGUUUUAAUUUCUUUUAUAUUUUCAGCCUUUUCAAGGACAUCUUUGAUCAGCUGCUUUUACUGGCCUUUUAAUCCAGCUUUCUCUUUGUGUAAUCUUUAUAAAAUCUUCCUUGAACAGGUUCUCUGGUGCCCAAGAAAAAUUUGGUGGCUCCAUUCAAACAUACUUAUAGUUACCUCCUUGAAUAAAUUUUAUUUUCCCAUUUUGCAGUUAGGCAUUAGUAGGUGGUUUGACUAACAAUUGUCAUAUUUUUAGUUUCUGAUAUUAUUCUGAUUGUAUUAUUAUUCUGAUACCAUGCUACGUCAGCACUCUCAUUAAAAACAUUCCCAAGUACUUUGAAAUUAUGUCUUACAGUGGUUUUUUUUAAAUCUGCAAUUUACAAAUUUUACUGAGAUGGGAUUAAUUUAUUUAUUAUCAUUAAUGAACAUUCACUGGAGUUACGUUGCAGCAAUAUGUGUUCUGAGAGUUGUAUUCAUAGCUGCUAGCAAAUAUUUUCUUUCUGCUAGAUAAAUGCCUUGGCAGCAACUGAUUUUUCAAAAAGAAAAUCAGAAGUGCUUGAAAAACACCCUCUAAAUAGUAGAAGUGUGUAGCUAGAACAUACACACCAUCUCUACUUCAUCAGUAUUUUAUUUAAGUAAAAGCUUCUCCUUUUUAUCCUACUCACAUUCUAUGUUCCUCUGAGAAUGAAUUUUUACUUGUUAUAGAAAAGAACAUAUUGUAGCUUUUGCAGAAAAGGAAAAAACUCAUCAGCAGCCCCAGAGCAUCAAUUUAUCAGUCCAGAUUCCUCAUGUGUAGGUGCUCAAAACUGUGCUUAGACUACUUUCCAAGCAGAUUCAGAGGUAGUUUUAAGAUAGGAAGCUCAACAUACUAUUGCAAAAUUAGCUAAUUAAUAAACCAGAUGAUCACAGAGAAUUAUUUUCUUUAGCUGACUUGUAUUUUUGUUGUUAGUUUCUAUCCAGGAUAAGAAACUCAGAUUAUUACAACUGCCAUAAAACAAUUCUAGCUUGGCUCUUUAGUUACUAGACAGGAGUUGAGAUGGAUGGAGUAAGGAGAGUGAGACUAUGGGUAUAUAAACUGUAAUUAUUUUAAAACAGAGAAACUGCUGGGAUCUUACAUGUGGCUUGUGUGGGAUCAGUCUUCUGGGUCGAUGCACUGCUACUGACUGUAAGAGUGCACUGCUCUGUCAGCUGGCACAAUUCAGGUAAGCACCUGAGGACACUGUUUACAAACCAAGGAGGAUUCACAACUGCUCCUGCUUCCCAGCAUCUAGAUUUUAUCCUCCUUGAACUACAUCUUCUCUCUUAGCUGCAUCAUCCAAUCCUGGUUAAGGCAAAUCCCACAAUCUGUGGCACUUAUCUUGAAUCUGAUCCUGGAGCAUGGCAGCUGUUCUCUCUCAUUUAAGCAACUGUUCACUUGGAGAUAUUAAGCAGCUUCCAUCUGCCUGGAAGCCUCUACAGGAAACCCAGUUCAGACAAGGGUUUAGAAAAGCUCUCUUAAUGGGCCACUCAAAUUCAAAGCCUUCAGUGUCUUUAUGGAAAAGCAGCCACAAAAUCUACAGAAGCAUUUUGAAACCAGACUUGUUAAGCAAAGUGCAGAACAUGUAAUAUAAUAAGUAGCUACAACCAAGUUAAUGAACAUGUAAUUAAAUACUGGCCUAAUUUGGGAACACUGGUAACACUGCAUAGGGGUCAGUGCUCCUAAAGGUCAGCUUCCUGUGUGACAUUAACUCCUCUCAGGGCACAUUUGGUAUUAUUACAAUUACUACCUGACAGAGACACAAUUCUCAGGAUUUUGAAUAAUAACCUCUACAAGAUAGAGAGACAAGAUCAAGUAUUUUAAGGUACUUUUAUUUAAUAAAUAACUUCAGUAAUAGCACGGUAAAAAGUGAACAUCUGUUAAAAUAAAAAGGCACUUAAAACAAGAAUAUGACUAUGAUGCACUUUGAAUGGUCAGAGGCAAAUAUACAUGGCACGUGUCAAGAAUGAUGUGUGACUCAUCACAUGACAAACUAUGCAAUCUCAGCUAUGGGGUAAACGCAAAUUUACAGCUAAGACUGCUCAAAAAAAAAAAAAAAGGAGAAAAAAAGCUUGUGUUGAUACAAAAAUAUUACAAAAAGAAUGGCAACCAAAUACAUUAAAAAGAUUAGAAGGUGACAAAGCACCAGGCUUGAAAGCAAAGAAACAUUACAGAAUAAAGACACAGCAUCACGUAAGGCCCUUAGGUGAUCUGAGGAUGUCUUGGUAAGGUACUUCAUGAUACUGUCACCCAGGGCUUGAAUUUACAAAGGAAAACUAAGUAAGUUACCAGUCAGCAACUUCUUCAGUAAUGGCACAUGUUUUAAAGCUAUUUUUUCCUUCUUAACAUUCUUCUCAAAACUUUUCAUUUUAACCAUAACCUGGCAAUAUGCAACUUGAAAAUCAAAGAUAAGUAUGCACACGCUUUUCAGUCUUUUACACUGCUCCCCUCCAGCUUACUCAACUUACCAAAUACUUAAUCACACAUCUAGCAAGUCAACCACCAGCUCCAUGCUACAUGAGUUUAAUUACAUCUGCAAACUCAAGCCCUGAUUUCCCUGUAAAGCUAAAAAGUUUAAUACUAAAUGGCUAGGCAGAGCCCUCAUGCUGAUUGCUUUAACCCCUUCCCUCCCAGUCAUGCCAUGCAGCAUCACGCCCUGCACAAGACCUGGAUUCACAGCACGGGAAUGGGAAAGGUCAAAAAGGCACCAUGUGUCCUGGGCUGACUAGGCUACACAGUCUCAAGUUUUUUUUUGUCCAACCUCCGGCACCAAUUACU